rnacentral:rRNA from 1 species
CACGUAGGCACCAAGCGUUGUCCGGAUUUAUUGGGCGUAAAGAGCUCGUAGGCGGUUCAGUAAGUCGGGUGUGAAAACUCUGGGCUCAACCCAGAGACGCCACCCGAUACUGCUGUGACUUGAGUACGGUAGGGGAGUGGGGAAUUCCUGGUGUAGCGGUGAAAUGCGCAGAUAUCAGGAGGAACACCAGUGGCGAAGGCGCCACUCUGGGCCGUAACUGACGCUGAGGCGCGAAAGCUAGGGGAGCAAACAGG